GAAACUGCAGCUGCAGGUCUCUUUCGCUGCCUCUUUCGGAGUCCGGAGCCAGAGCUCUGGUCAGCUGCAGAGAGAGGAACCUGAAAGGAAGUGGAAUAAACAAAAAGAAAGAAAGCCAAACAAAGCUGCAAACGAGGCUUUGGUAGACAUGCCGGUCUCAGGGGCGAUGUGCGCACACAAAGAGCUCUCUGUGAGGGUGGUGGUGCUCCGUAUUCCUGAGGAGUACUUGCUCAGUCACACACACACACACACACACACUUAUUACAUUCACACACAGCAAGGGUACACAGAGAUAAACUUAAGCGUACCAUUAAGCAUACCAUUUUUAAUCUUUUAUUACACAAAUGUCUUUUUUAUGGAGUCAUGUCUUAACUUCUGCGGGAAAUGUGAUACAGUAUAAAUGUAGUUUAUGUUAAUUGUCACGCUAGUUGAUGACGUUUUGUUUUGUUGAUAUUUGCUCACUCUCUCUGGGUUACAUAACUGUUUAAAUGUCAUAAAUAUUAAAAGAAAUCUCCAGCCCUAAUGGAUACCUCGGAAAGUCAAUAUUGGAGCCCAUCAUGUCUCUAUCAAUAGCUCUUUCAGCCCUUGUGGAAUUCAUUCAAGCGGUAUUAGAAGUAAACCUUUGAACCCUCAGACUAUGGCUGUGCUGGUCCUUUUUCAGCUAAUUUAUGUUUCUAAUCUGAUUUUGAUCUGCAGCUCCAUAAGGCUACCAUAACACAGAUCUCACAGGCAACUUAAGCAGCCAGCUUUUGUGCUGAGCUCCAGGAGUCUUCGGUGUUGUUUGUGCUGGAUAGACGGUAUGUCACACCGUAUACUUUCUAGAACUUGGGCCACUUUUUGCUUCACCAGAGAGGCAAACUACUGAUUACUUUUUUUUUAUCUUUCCCCCUCACAAUCCAUCCCCUGCAUUUCCCCCCUCAUGUGUACAGUGGCCUAUAGCAUAAUGGUAGAGAAGGGAUCAGUACCAGCAGUGUUCAGUGAAGUGUGGGUUGGUGCUUAGCUUUCUCUCUGCUGAUGUAUUGGGUUUACUGCCUAAAGUGCAAAACUACAGUGGUGUCUCAUGCGAGUAAUGGGAUACCAAGAAUACCUGCAUGGAUUGAACAACAAAUUUGGAGAGAAAGCACUGACAGAGAAAGUCUUCUUAUUAAUCUUGUAGCACCAAUUAACAUAUUAGAAUCAAAAUCACAUAUUUUUCCUAAUGCCCCAAAAACUACACUUUGUGUAAAACGCUGUGCAGGAUUGUUGACAUCAUACAUUUCUUGGACAUGCUGCAAAAGGACAGUGUAAAAAAAGUAACAGAUGGUAGGCUAUGCAAACCACUCUAUGUAGAAUAUACAUGCAUAUCUAUAUGUAGCAGUAUGUCCCUUGUUAUGGCACAGUAUUGCAUGACUUUAUAGCAGAGAGGCAGUAACGUGUACAAGAGGUUGGGCAGACACUGUAAAGCACAUGAGUAGUAAUAAACAGCAUGAUCAGGAGAGUAUAUGCAGAGGAAACAGGUUUACAGUUAUAGCACCAUGAGUGUUGAGACGGGUACACAGGUUAUUGUGGGUCAGUCUUUAAAAUAUCAAUGAAAUUACAUUUGCCUUUCGAAGUGCGGGGUUAGAGUUUUUUUGAAUUGCCUAAAAAAACUCCCUAAAAAGAGCAAAGGAAACACUGCGCUGCUGAAGAACAAGUUGGAUCAACCAUUAAUGUUAUUGCAAAUUCAACACUUAAUUUUCAAAGAAAUCCUGUGACGGGAAGCCUAGCUGAAACCUUGGAGCAUGAACCUUUAAAAUACAAGCAAUGCACAUUUAUUUAAGUUCAACAACAACUUUCUUUUUUACAGAGUUUGUUUCUAGACCAACUUUUCGUCAACCCAGGAGUGCGAUGGAAUUAUGGAGGGACAGCAAGUGUCUGUUCGACAUUUGAAACUGAGAUAAUCGCAGCAACACUGUCAAAGAGAAUUGGUAGAAGAAAAGUGCAACUGUCUAUCAGCUAAAGAGCAGAGCAUCUUUAAUGAAUCUGCAGAGGAGAGAAAGUGGUAGGGGGCCUGUGUAGACACAGUGUCGCCAGCCGUCCUUCGUGCUGUUUUGUCUUGUCUUUCAUGGUGUCAUGCGGUGUCUUGAUAGUGGACAGCUGACAGGUAAUGGCCCGCUGACGAGUGAGGGACAACUCAAGGUUGUUCUUUUGGAUAUAAAUUGUCAUUUGCUGCAGGACAUCCUCCACAGGUGGUGAGCUGAAAGUUUCCAUGAGGCUAAAGUCAUGUCAAUGAUGUUAUGUCCUCGCAUGCAUGUUUGGUUCUGGUGGACAAAGCACAGAAUAGUUUGUCUCUCAGACCCAAACCAGGAUGGUGUCAUCUGCAAACUUGAGCACUCUUAUGGUCCAUUUAUUUUAAAAAUGAUUCAGUCCAGUACAGGAGGCUUUUUAUUUGCCAGUAAAGUAAGGUUUUAUUAAUUCAAUUUCAGUUUGACAAAUGUUGAUUUAAUAGAAUAUCUUGAAACCAUGUCAAGGUUUCUCUCUGGUGUCUGUGUGCACUAUGAGUCUCCUCUUUAGCUGAAAACGUUACAGGGAUAGCUUUUUAGAUGCAUCAUGGUUCAUCUCUGUUAUUAUCACCCACACUUCUUUCAUUAUUAUAGUUUUGAUAAAGAAAAUCUUAAUAAGCUCCUGUGAUGUGAUACAGUAUCUCAAGGCACUUGCUUGCAGACAUCUCCUCUACUGGCAGGAACAGGAAGCAGCUGCUCAUUGGCACGCUCAGGGCUGUUUGCCAAAAAGGGAUUUUCAGUUUGUCAAUCUCGCCACAUCUCUUCAGUCACAGAGCAUUUCAUGAAGUGAAGUCAACUUGAAUUAUUUCAUUCAGUUAAAGGUGUCAUUCAGCAAAGCAAGUUUCAGAUUGCGUGCUCUGAGGAAAAUGUGUGAACCAGUUGAGAAACCUCCCCUUUCACCCCUCCUCUUUUCAUUUCCUGUGCUUUUUUUUAUUUUUUUUGAGGUUGCUAUAGCGACGCAGAGAUGGAAUAAACUUCCUGUCUGUUUCCCGUGGUUAAUUGCGGCCUCUUUUGGCACUUUUUUUUUUUUCUUCCUCUACAAUCUCUUGCACACUUCAGAUUUGUUGAUUUCACACCAUUCAUCAUUUCAUGUAGAUAAUUAUAACAAACGCAGUUCAUUAUCUGUCUGCUUGAUGAGCAAAACACAUUUUCAGAACCUUGUUUUAAAUGUGGAUCUGUGAAGAGUGUUUCGUUACACGUUUCCAGUCUGAUAAAUUAACCUUUCAAGACUUAAUCAAAAGCAAGGAAGAAACACGGUGAGAGAGUGCUUUAUAACUGAACUGGCAUCAUCGUAGCUACAGUAUUAGAAUCAUGUGGCACAGCAGUUGAGGAAUACCAGUUUCUUUGUUAAACAGAUCUGUAAGUCUUCCUCUUCCUUACCAGCUGUUACACCAAAUGUACCAACAGAGGUGUCAAAACAGUGGAUCUAAUAUUAAAAUAAAACCUGUGAUUUUUUCAUUAUUCACAAGUUAAAUCCUAAAAACCUUCACUUCCCUAAAACCUUACAGGCCAUAUAUCUCCUUCUUCAAUGCAUUUCAUAAACAUUUCAUAAACAUUUUAAUAAUUGCUGUAUUUAUUUAGCUUUAAAGUUCAUCUUGAAAGAGAGCAGGUCUAAUCUGAAAGUUAUAAUUGGAUUCACACACUGUGAACUUGAGCUGAAAUGCUGAGCGACGACGUUUGCUCGGGCCGCGUCAGGUGCGUUGGUUUGGUCGGGCCUUUCAUGUCUGCGGGCUUCAAGGCCGCGAUCGCCUCUGAUUUUUAGAGCUGGAAGAAGGCCAGUCAUCUCAGGCAGCCUUGGUCGCCUCGUCUGCUCUUUGAUCGAUGGCCUUUCAGUCCGGAGUAAUUAUCCCAGACCAGACUGGGAGGCUGGUAUCUUUGUGGACUGCCAUGUCGUGUGCCACGAAGGUGCAUAAACCUAAAAAGUCUGGUUACAUGUGUAAAUGACUUGCAUCCACAGCAGAGAUUUCAGAUUAUUUUAAAAGGUUUACUGAAAUGCCAAAUGAAUGCCACUUUCAAAAUAGUGCCUUACAGUGUCGUCUGGUGAGGUCUCAGAAAGUGUAAAUUGUUGUUUCACCUCCUACUUUUUAUGAUCAUUUAUAUUGUAUUUCAAUAUACAAUAGCCAAACCUUUUAAUUGAUUGAUACAUGUUUCUGUUGUCGUGAUCUUGAACAAGUAUAAAUUAAAUAGGGAAUAGGGAUAUUCAUUGAAGUAUUGUAAAUGCAUUAUGUGGACCCCAGAAAGAGCCACCGUUACAGUAACUAAUGGGGAUAAAAACAAAAGAAAACAAACUCUUUAGCACAAAGAAAGUUGAAUACCUCACUAUAUAAUGGUUAUGAAAUUGUCUGACUGUUACCAUAAUUAUAGUAUACCGGUAGUUUAGUUUAAUGUUUGUGUUCGACUAUAUUAAUAAUAAUAAUAAUACCACCUUUAUUUAUAUAGCACUUUUCGAAAAACAAGUUACAAAGUGCUUUACAAAUACAUAAAAAGCAAGACAAAUGAAAAAAUAGAGUUGAUACAGUAAAAUUGACAAGCAAGGUAUGAAGUACUAAAACACAGUAAAAACAAGUAGAUUAAUAGCAAAAAUAACCGAUUAAGAGAAAGCAAUUCUGAAAAAGUGUGUCUUUAAAAGAGAUUCAAAAGACAAAACAGAAGCUAGCCUGGCAUUUAAAAUAACACAAAGAAAGCAGAAGGCAACAGGAAGUUGUCUCACAGCACCUGACUGUCUGUAAGGAGGCACAUUUUCCGUCCACUCUACAGCUCAAAAUUGGCACUUUAAAAAAGAUGAAAAGGAUUUUUGAGAAGUUCGAAAAGCUAUGGACAAAAUGACUGGAUGGCCAAAACAGCGAGAAAAUUAUGAGUUUUCAAAUGUAGUCGGCUCAGUUGGAUAUUCAUUGUAAGUGCACCGUAGCAGAGCAACGCCUCCUGAAUUUCAGUUAGAAAGAAGCUAGAAACAGCAUGUUUGUCAAUUUUUUGCUUAAAAAAUUACUUUAAAAGAUUAUUCAAUUAUCUAAAUAUUUGCAGAUUAAUUUUCUGUUGAUCAUUUAAUUAAUUUAAUCGCAGUUCUACUCUUAUUUACCUCCAUAUUUCACCCUGAAUAUGGUUAUGAAUUAGGAGGAUAUUCAGGAUACUUCUGAUUUUACUGCUGCCUCACUGUCUGGCUUUUGUUGCUGAGCACAUUUUUCUCCAAAUGUUAUUUUUACCAUGCCUCUUCCACAUCUCAUUGCUUAUAUUUUGAUGCACCAAUCCAUAAUUCAUUGAGCCUUUUUCCUCCAUCCUUCUGUCUCUGUGUGCCUGCACAUGUGAAUGUGCCUGUCUGAGUACAAAGGUUAGUGCAGGAGGGGGGGCAGGUAAUGGAUGCAUGUAUAAUACAUCAGCAGUACAUUUCCAGUGGCUCAUAUCCCAUGAUGCAGCAGAUGCCUCCAGUGACCACCACCACACUCUUUUUGUCCCUGUUUUCCUUCAUCUUUGCCAGUUGAUGGUGAAUAAAUAAGAAAUGGGUUUUCCUACUGUAACGUGCCCAUGUGAAGAAUCUGAAUGAAUCCAUGCUAUGAAGUGUGUUCGUAUACUAGCACUCCUUCCCGUGGUUCAGCCUCAUCGCUGGGAGGCUGCAGCUGUUGUGACCGUGCACUGCUAAUGCCAGAGAGAGACGCUAAGCUCCAGGCUUUGUUUCGCUGCUUGAAGUGAGACUGAAGCUCAAAUAAUGAUUGUGUGUGGAGUGGCUCCUCCUGUGAGUGGAGUGGCUUAGUGGGUGACACAGAACAGCGCAGUAUGAGGCAAGACACAUCACUGUGGUCCAGUGAUCUGCCUUAAUAGUAUGUUCCAUAGUUUUCUGUCUUAGUGCAUAGACAUUUAACCUAACUUGUGCUAAAUUGAAGCAUUGUCACCGGACCGCCAGAUACAGUGCUGCUAGCAGAUCUUUAUAUACUGUGUUUAUGUACUGUGAAUUCAGGUCUGUUUUUUCUUUGGGUGGCACUAGGGGAGUGGGAAACUGUUGCAAACUGAUUGUUGGGGGCCAAGGAGCCGGGCAAGGAGCCUGAAAUAUGCCAGCUAUGCAAGAUAUUUGUCAGAGCUCUUCAGCUGUUUUCAGGGGGAUUGGAGGGGGGGGGCUAAAUUAGUAGAAGUGAUCAUCUGUUGACACAGUUGUGAUGAGGGGAGCUUGGAGUUACGGAUUACUAUGAGCUAUUUGAUAUGUCUCCACCGCUUAUGCCAAAUACAAACAGGAAGCACAUUGUAGUCACUGCACAGUGACAAAAACAGUAUACAAUAAACAAUAAAUGCCACUGCACACUCUGAUUUUGCACACAAACACAUUUCACCUUAAUGCUAU